rnacentral:misc_RNA from 1 species
CCGGGCUUGCAAUUGGGCUUUGUCUGCUUUAUGUAGAAGUCUAAAAGACAGUGGCGGUUAAGUUAGGCAUUCCAGCGUAGUGAUUAUAUUAGCUGUUGAAAUGUCUUUUACAUGACAGCCAGGGUUUCUGCUGGCGGAAACCCCUUGGUUUUUAAUCAAUUAUUGACCUCGGAUCAGGUGAGGAUACCCGCUGAAUUUAA